GACGAACGCUGGCGGCGUGCUUAACACAUGCAAGUCGAACGGAAAGGCCCUGCUUUUGUGGGGUGCUCGAGUGGCGAACGGGUGAGUAACACGUGAGUAACCUGCCCUUGACUUUGGGAUAACUUCAGGAAACUGGGGCUAAUACCGGAUAGGAGCUCCUGCUGCAUGGGGGGGGUUGGAAAGUUUCGGCGGUUGGGGAUGGACUCGCGGCUUAUCAGCUUGUUGGUGGGGUAUUGUCUUACCAAGGCUUUGACGGGUAGCCGGCCUGAGAGGGUGACCGGCCACGUUGGGACUGAGAUACGGCCCAGACUCCUACGGGAGGCAGCAGUGGGGAAUAUUGCACAAUGGGCGGAAGCCUGAUGCGGCAACGCCGCGUGCGGGAUGACGGCCUUCGGGUUGUAAACCGCUUUCGCCUGUGACGAAGCGUGAGUGACGGUAAUGGGUAAAGAAGCACCGGCUAACUACGUG
rnacentral:rRNA from 1 species